AAACAAAAGUUAGCCAUCUUAUUGACAGUUUGGCAAAGCUGAUGAAGUUGACCCAUUUGGCCAAAAUCACGUCCAUCUUAAUUAUAAGCCCCAUUUCCCUUUUUAAUCAGCUCAAACGAGCAGCCCAAACCAUAAGAACCGUCAACAAAAUGUUAGUUAGCUACGCUCAACAAUACACAUACAUAUUUUUUAUCCAAUUUCUCUCUAAACCUAAUUCCAAAGCCGGCGGCAUCGAUUCAAUUUCUUCUCCCCAUUCCAUUUUCGAUUUAGAUCCGAACUCCAUCGAUCAUUGACGGACUUUAUCAAUACCAUUUUUGUGCAAAUUUCCCAUCACCUAUCUUAGCAUAUCACAAGAAUCCAAGAAUGCUUUUACAGAGGUCUGAGCACAAGAGAUCCGUUCACGGGUCUAAUUCAAAUCCAACUUUGAAAUCCCGCCUAAAAAAAAUUCCAUCGCAUAAACCCUAUCUUUCUUCUAUAAAUACAUCUCUAACUCUCAGCCGAAAUCAUCUUUUUUGACACUUAAGAUUUACCAUAGUUUCACCAUCAAAAUUAUUGCUUUAAGGAAUUUUAGCCAACACUUAACACCUUGAAAAUACUCUCAUCAUCUUCCAAAGCUUUCUUUUCUUUUUUGGUGAACUUUAGCCUCGGAAAAGGUAUUCAAACUCAUCCCACUCUAGUUUCAAAUCUGUUCAUAACGAAAGAGUAGGUUCGAGGCCCCGACGUCCCGUUCACUGCACCAACAAGAGAGCUGAAGAGUUUCACUUUGAGACUCAACGACGUUGUUACCGCAUGGAGUCUGCAUGUCCACUAUUCUUUCUAGUCUCUCAAACAUCCAAUUACAGAGGAUAUUUUGUCCUCCUGUAGAAGCCGAACAGGACCGUUGAAUCAUCUCAUUUUAGUUCUGCUUGUUUCAUUUACUUGUGUUGGUGUGGCUAACAUUUAUCUUUGAUUAUGUAUUUACUGCUUCCCUAAACUCAGAAUGAGCAUAAGAUACUAGCUGCAGUAUUAUGUAGAGUUUUUUUUUUUCAUCUUUAGGCAGCAGUGAGGAAUACUUUUUAUAAUAUAGAACCAGGCACUUGGAUAAAGAUUUUAACUUGGAGGAUUUUGUGUCAGGUAUAUUAAGUGAAGUCAUUUGGGUUCUUUUUGGUACUUCACAACCUUUUUCAUGUCAAAUCUUUGUAUUUUCAUAAAUGAUGAGUGUCGUCAACAACAUUUUGAACUGAGGAAGUGAUUUUGCAAGACGUGGGUCUUUCAAUAUGAUAUUGAUACAAAUAGUUUCAUCUAAAAUCAUUUUGUCAUCUAGUUCUCGUCCAAUACCUCAUUUUUUAAACAUAUUUAUAUUUUUACAUUCACAUCUGGCCAGAUAGAUGUCUUUGACCCACUUGAAAAUGUGAACCUUAUAAAUGAUUUUCUUUGGCUGACCUUACAAAUUCAAUUUCCUUUAGUUCACUAUUUGAUUCCAGUCUACUACUGCUACUUUCCAAUGACCAAAUUUAUGUUAUUGUACCAACUUUAAUCACUACUUUAAAUUAUUUAGACCUUUUCGCAAGAUCUUAGCCUUUUUAAUUAACUCUAAGUCCGGUCAGCUAACCAUUGUUAAUGGAUCUUAAAGGAUGCUUAAUACCUUCCCUUAAGAUUAAUUGAACCCUUAUCUAGAAUCUUUAAGUUUAGUAGACCUUAAACGGAGUUAACUUUAGACAAUUACUUUAAUGAACUUUAGGUGUCCUAAUUCACCAUAAAUAAUUAGGUGGCGACUCCUUAAUUUUAAUUAACCCCGGAAUUACCGGAAUGUUGUAAACCAUUUUGACCUUGGUUAAAAAGGGGUAUAACAUUGAGUCCUUGCAAGAUCCCCAAUCGGCAUCACAGAAGGCCAAAAGAGAAAAAGAAGUAGAUGAGUUGAGAAAGAGACCUUGUUGAGGAUUGUUUCAGAGGUACUGAAGAACUCGAAGAGCAGCAGAAAAAUGACCAACACAAGGACUUUGCAUAUACUGGCUCAAAAUCAGGAUAGUGAAUGAAAGAUCCGACCUUGUGUGAGUCAAAUAGUUCAAUUUACUAACUAAGCAUCGAUAAAUAGUGAGAUUUUCCAGAAGAGUACCCCCAUCUGCAGUUAUCUUGAGUUGAGGAUCAAGUGAAGAAGAGACCUUAGGAAGAACAGCAUAAUCAAAUUCCUCAAAUGAUAAAGUUUUUCCCCAUUAGGCUGACCAAACCUUUGUUCAAGGUCUGUCCAGAGAUCUUUUGCUGUUUUGGAGUAAAGAACACUAUCAGCUAUGUCCUUAGAGAGAGGAUUCAGCAACCAAGAUGUGACCAUGUCAUUGCAUCUGUUCCAGAUCUGAAAAGUUGGAUCCGUGGAAACUGGAGCAAGACAGGUGCCAUCUAUAAACCCUAGCUUAUUCUUAGCUGAGACAGAGAUGAGGAUGGACCUUCUCCAUCCAGGAUAUCCUCUUCGAUUGAAAGAGGUAUUAACCAGCACCAUACCUGGUGCAUCAGAAGCAUGAAGAUAAAAGGGACUGCUGGAAUCAAUGGCAUUGUUACUGCCUCCAGCACCAGUGGAAGAAUCAGUUUGAGGCAUGGCUGAAGGAUAUUGAGUGAAAGAGAAAACAGAUUAAGUAGAAGAGCUAUGGAGAAAAUCCUUGUGCUCUGAUACCAUGUAGAAACUUUACUUGGAGAGGAAGAAUUGGAAAUUUUCUCUAUAUUGAAUGAAUAAUCUGUACAGUUGUUGUUCUAUUUGUACAAGUAUAAUCUGAGAAAAAUAAAUAGAAAAAUAAACUAAUUUGUACACUUGUGCUCUUCCUAUUGCUUACAUCAUAACAAACUUAAUCAUCAAAAUAUUCCUUUCUAUGUACAGCUGUAUAUUUCUUGUCGUACUAAUCUGAAUUUGUGUCAUGUUGGGCUGCUGUGUCAUGUUGGGCUACAUUUGUUGAAUCAGCUAAAAGAGGCCCAAACUUUAAUUUGCCUGA